GUAGUCACAGCCAACAAGUGUGGAAACCGCCUCAGGACCGGCUUGAGUGGAGCGGCUGCGGGAGUUACUUCAUGACUGUGGUCUCACGCUGUGUUUCGCCACCCAUCCCUGCCUGGCCUGGCUUCCUUCCUUCCUCCUGGGUAACAGAGUCCCAAGAUUCCAAGUUCCAGGAGCAUGAAAGGACUCACUUGUGGAGAUUCCUGCCUGGGGCUCCCACCCACCUAAGGAAUGCCAUCCUUGUCACCGGCUCACGGGGCAGCUCUUUGGUAUCCUUCCAGGGUGGUGUGUACAAGUACAGGCACAUGGAUGCAUGGAUGCAUGAGCAUUUUUUUCUUUUGCCGACAUAUUAAUACACCCGGCAGCACUCUAGGCCCAUUGGCCUGCAACUUUUCAUUUGAUUGAUUUUUAAUUAUUUACUUUUUUAAAAAAUUGUAGUUAAAUAUACAUGACAUAUAUUUACCAUUUGAGUCUUUUUUUUUUUUUUGAGAUGGAGUCUUGCUCUAUCUCCCAGGCUGGAGUGCAGUGGUGUGAUCUCGGCUCACUGCAACCUCCACAGCCUGAUCCUGGGUUCAAGGGAUUCUCCUGCCUCAGCCUCCCGAGUAGUUGGGAUUACAGGCGCCUGCCACCAUGCCUGGAUAAUUUUUUUUUCUUUUGAGACGGAGUCUUGCUCUGUCACCCAGGCUGGAGUGCAGUGGUGCAAUCUCAGCUCACUGCAAGCUCCGCCUCCCAGGUUCACGCCAUUCUCCUGCCUCAGCCUCCCGAAUAGCUGCGACUACAGGUGCCCGCCACCACACCGGCUAAUUUUUUGUAUUUUUAGUAGAGACAGGGUUUCACCGUGUUAGCCAGGAUGGUCUCGAUCUCCUGACCUCGUGAUCAGCCUGCCUCGGCCUCCCAAAGUGCUGGGAUUAAAGGCAUGAGCCACUGUGCCCGGCCUAAUUUUUGUAUUUCUGUAGAGACAGGAUUUCACCAUGUUGGCUAGGCUGGUCUCAAACUCUUGACCUCAGGUGAUCUGCCCUCCUCGCCCUCCCAAAGUGUUGGGAUUACAGGUGUGAGCCACAGCACCCAGACCAUUUUUAAGUGCACAGUUCAGUGGUAUUACAUACAUUCACAGUGUUGUAUAAUCGUCACCACCAUCCAUCUUCAGAACUUUAUGCAUCUUGCAAAACUAAAACCUGCCCCCAUUAAACAGCAGCCCCCCUCAUCCCCUGCCCCCAACCCCUGGCAACCCCUAUUCUACUGUCCGUGCCUAUGAACCUCACUACUCUAUGCACCUCACAUACGUGGAACCACAUGGUAUCUGCCCUUUCGUCGCUGGCGUCUCUUAGCAUAACGUCCUCAAGGUUCAUCGGUGUUGGGGCACGUGUCGGGAUUUUAUGGUGUGUGAAUGACGUCUCAGUUUAAAAUGUUCUAGAGUUACCCAGUGGUGAUGGAUACACAACUCUGAAUAUGCCAACAACUUCUGACUGGUACACUUUGAGUGGGUGAUUGUAUGGUCUUUGAAUUGUGUCAAUAAAGCUGUCAUUUAAAAUAAAAUACCAAUCCGUGCUGGCACAGAGA
rnacentral:lncRNA from 1 species